rnacentral:tRNA from 1 species
CGGGAUGUAGCUCAGUCCGGUUAGAGUACACGUCUGGGGGGCGUGGGGCCCCGGGUUCAAAUCCCGGCAUCCCGA